rnacentral:ncRNA from 2 species
CGAACCCGCGCGGGAGAGUCCCCGGCAGGCGUGUGCAGUACGCGCACGCCGGGGCGCCGAAGGAGCAAGAUCCUCCCUUGAAUCUCUCAGGCCCCGUUACCGCGCAGGCUAG